rnacentral:rRNA from 1 species
UACGUAGGGUGCGAGCGUUAAUCGGAAUUACUGGGCGUAAAGAGUGCGUAGGCGGUCCCGCAAGUCCGCUGUGAAAGCCCCGGGCUUAACCUGGGAAUGGCAGUGGAAACUAUGGGACUUGAAUCUGGCAGAGGGGGGUGGAAUGCCACGGUGUAGCAGUGAAAUGCGUAGAGAUGUGGCGGAACACCGAUGGCGAAGGCAGCCCCCUGGGCUGAGAU